UUUCCUGUAUUACGUUUCAUAGAUAACCCCGAGUGUUGGACUGAAAUGUAUUGCUGGCUGAAGACUUGAUGAUGUUUUGAGAUGAUCGGAAUGACGGUACUCUGGAUUCUGUGCUGGGUUCAUGCAGCCGCCGCAGUAUUCUCCUGCUGCUCAGCACUGAUCUCCCGGAAGGAUGAGCAGGACUCUGCAGCCACCGUGCCCCUGUCCUCCACAGCUGGGGCAGCUGAGGGGCAGGAGAGCUUGACUGGAGCUCCACCCUCGCUGUGCUAACAGGGUUUGAAAUUCCUUGUGUGGGGUGGUGUCUCCUUCAUGAAAAUUGAAGAAUACAAAGUUAAGUAUUUGUGUUUCUGGUUGUGUGUGUGUGUGUUUUUUUUUUUUGUCUCAGUGUGGUUGUUAAGUGAAAUGCAUUCGUUUAGUGUUAGCUGAAGUGCAGUUUAUGACAUUGGUAGCUUAGUUUGAAUGUAAUUCAUGAAGUGGAGUAAGUUGAAUGGAUUAGGACUCGUAUAUUUUUUAUUUUUCUGAAGUGGUUCAACUGAGUUGGUGUGUUUGUCUUGUCCAGUGUGUGUUAGCAUGCUGUGUUGAUGUCACCGGUAGCACCUUGUUUAGUUAAUACGGUGUUUCUGUAAAUACAGAGUAUUGUUCCUGGCUCUGUUUUCGAUUUUGUUUCAGGUUUGAUUCUUCUUGUCGGGUGUUUUGCUUCAUGAGUGUCCAAGAAUACAAAGUCAAGUGUAUUUUUUGUGUAACUUUUCUCUUUUCAGCACGGAGAAUCGGCUUAAAUGAAUGGCAGUGAAUGAAUAAUGAUGAUAGCAAUUGCAAUUGCAGAUGGGCGCUCAGGGUCCGAGUGAAAAAUAAAUUUAGCUGGAGGUCUCGUCCGCGGGUGCCUGACGGCUACCUGCGCGAGGCCAGCUAGAAAUACAUGAACAGAUACAUGCAUGCCAGUGCUGCAGAUAAGUGGCUGUA